CAAAUAAGUGUUGUACGUCCUC
rnacentral:siRNA from 1 species